UCUGCAAAUGUAGUCUACAACGGAGUGAUGCCCGUGGGGCAGACAGACUCCAGGGUUCUACUUAGCGAACUACUUCUAGAAAAGCAGUAAAUGCGGAAAAGAAAAAGAUUACAUUUAGACUACUGCUAGAAAAGCGAUAAAAUGCAGAGGAAAUAAGGGUGGUCUUCUCGUUCAGAAUGGAGAAAGACCUCUAUUGCAGGCUUCUAAGUUACUAUUUAUAAUGUCUUUAAGCCCACUUUAUUGGUCGGUUGAAAGUAGUGGGGGAGAGUGGUUGUAACCAUGAUCGUGGAAGUUACACUAACUCCUUAUGGAAGUUACGCUAACUCCUCAUGGAAGUUACGUGCCACUUCUCAACCGUUCCCGCCUAAACGCUUUUGACCUUCAGGCGCCUUAUUGCCGACUCCUGGUGUACCACGUGUCCUUAUUUCUUUGGCUCAUACAUGGCUUAGGUCGGCAUGUCUCAAUUUUGGCCUCAACAAUGCCCCCCCAAUAGUCUUUCGAAUGAACAUUCGGAUGACUAUUGGUGCCAAAUCGACUGCUCAAUAACACAGCCGAGACCCGAACUUUAGUUUCGCUGGUCUUGGUCGGCUUAAAGAAAACAGCUUUUUAUCAUCUCAGCCACAUAUAUCUCGGCUUUAUCAAUCGAUUCUUUACUUUACUCGAUAGGUUCGGCUCUUCUUGAACCGAAUAUUAUUCUAUCAAGAAUUUUUCCUUGAAGAAAGUUGUUCUUUACCAGCCGUACAUACCUCGGCUUCAUUAGCCGAUUCUUCACUUUCACCUGAUUGGCUCGGCUCUCUUUGAACCGACUGUUCUUCUAGCAAGAAUUUCUCCUUGCCUUUUCUUUGAUUUUUAUAUCGGCUCCAUUGUAGCCGAUCGUCCUCACUUUUCUUCUGAAAUUGCUCAUAUUGGGCAACUUGAACAACUAGAUCAAAUAGGUUAAAAAAUACUUAUCUUCAAAAUGGUCUUUUAUCUUAAAAUGCAGACCAUUUAACGCCAUUUUGGCGAACUCUGAUUCCGGCAUUCUUAUAAAGCACCGAAUUUUGGCUAUUUUGAAACGGUUCAAAUACUCUUCGACCAUUUCACCCGACAUUUGUCGGUAAAAAGUCAAGUCGGCGACCGAUAAUUGUGGCUCCGACCUAUAGAAUUGCUCAUGAAAUUUUUUUUUCUAAUUCAUCCCAAUCUUGGACGGAAUUGGCUGAUAAACUUGUAUACCAAGUAAACGUCGUUUUAGUUAACAACGUGUUAAACAAUCUUAAUUUUAAAAAUGGAUCUGUUGCGGCUUCCCUGCACUGUGCCGUGAACCGUGCCACAUGUUCGAUCGUGUUUUCGGUCUCAUCCUCAGAAAAUUUAUCAAACUUCGGCAUUUUCCAGUUUGCCGGGUAUGGAUGCUCUGUGUCUAUAUUUGCAGGAUAAGGUGAUCUAAAUAUAGGCCUCAUUCUCGGCCUUGCGCCUACUCCAAAAGUAUUUCGGAUAGCUUCUUCGAUUUGUGCAUAUAUUUCAUUAUUGCUUUCCCGUAAAGGAACUUGUGCUUGUGCUGCAUUCGGUCCUUAUAAUGGUUCGAAGUUUUGUACUAUGGGAUUUGCUCCUUGAAUAUUUGGAGCCUGCCGCCCAGCUCUAGCCCCUACAUUUUGGGACUGGUAUGUUGCAAUCGGCGGAGGUGGUGGCAAUCCCCAUGUAAUUUUUGGCUGUUGACCGGUAUUGAUGACGGCCGGUCUGUAAGCCGCUUGGAAUGGUGUCCCCUGAUAUUGGAGUUGUCCAUUUAACGGUAUCGCAGGAUUUUGCAAUACUGGUGUCAUCAUAGGCCCUCGUAAGCCUGUCAUUGGUUGCUCAUUUCGAGUCAAUAAUUGUCCUAUUUGUGCAAUAUUUUCAUUAUAGGCCGUGAUGGCAGCCAGCACCAUGUCUAGUCGAGUGGUACUUUGAUGGAUAUUUUGAUCUAAAGUUUGCAGAACUCGGCUUAUCUGGCCGAGCGCCUGAGUUAGACUCGGCUCUUGAUGAGCCGACUGUCCACUAGUUUCUCCUUCAACUGGCAAAACUGCUUGACAUUCGCCAGUAUUGUCUGAAUCACUAGGUUGAUCACUCCCAGAAUUUCUAGGAAUGACCCUAUUACGUAGAUUUAUGGCGUUAUCAUCAGCCAUAAUCUAUAUAAAAAUGUAAAUUUACGUUAAAAAUAAAGNCCAGUAUUGUCUGAAUCACUAGGUUGAUCACUCCCAGAAUUUCUAGGAAUGACCCUAUUACGUAGAUUUAUGGCGUUAUCAUCAGCCAUAAUCUAUAUAAAAAUGUAAAUUUACCUUAAAAAUAAAGUCCUAUCGGGCGUGCCAAAAAUUAUUAGUAGCCGAAUUUUUCGACCCUCUGGACCGGUCAAAUAUCUUCCCCG
rnacentral:lncRNA from 1 species